GGGGGUGUAGCUCAAUUGGCUAGAGCGCUGCCCUGUCACGGCAGAGGUCGCGGGUUCGAGCCCCGUCACUCCCG
rnacentral:tRNA from 1 species